AGCUCAGUGAUAUUUUUCCUUUGGCAAAACCUGCAGGGAUGUGCUGGAUACACUUUGCCUGGAAUCAAAGUUCCUGAUGUGUUUGGGACUUUUAUCAUCACCUACUUCAGAAUGAACGGAAGGUGGGAACUGCUGUUCUCUCCAAGCACUUCUCCAUCAUUUUUGUUCCCUGAGCUGGAGUUUCACAAUGAGGAUGUUCCUGGAGCAUCUGAGGACAGCCUGCUCCAUGGGGUGCAUCCCUCCAAGGGAGACAGAGAGGGAAGUGCCAAAGAUGCCAACGGGUCCAGCUCUGCAUCAGGAAAGCCUGAAGAGCCCCGAUUCAGCCAAAGCCCACUCAUCACUCACCUCCGAGCACCCCAACAGCCCUGGGAGGAGGCUGCGCAUCCCUGGAGCGAGCGGUUAAGUGCUUUGCUGAACCAGGGCCAAGGUCCAGCACGGAGCCACCCAGCUCCCGCCGGCUCCCUCGUUGGCGCCGCACCGUGGAGUCAGGCCUGGGCUCGCACUGGAGGACGUUACGAAACCCUGGCCCUGACAGAGAGCAGAUGCAUUAUUGGGAAGCCCUCGGGUCAUGAGAGGGCUAAUAGUCACAUUCCUGGCUGGGAUGGCGAAAGAUUUACGCCGGGCGCUUGCUCGCCUCGCCCUGCACCAGGCCGGCUCCCUGCUUCACCGGCCCCCUCGGCUUUAAUUGUUGUGUUAAUGGCCCUUUUAUUUGAAGCAGAUCCCCUGGCUUACAGAGGAGAAUGUCAUUAUGUCGUAUUUUAG
rnacentral:lncRNA from 14 species